UCUCUUCCUUCCUUUCCCCUAUCCUUGAGAUACUUGCUGGGAUAUUCGCUCAUGAUUCCGUCAGUUUUUCCUCUUGUUCAUCCCGUAAUCAUCUACUCAUCAAAGUGGAAUUCCGUCAGGGAUUUGCAUGGAGGGACUCAUCCCACCCCCGCUGCAGCGGUGCUGUAUUGGAACAGAUGUGGAGUUUGUAUAAAGAUUUUGAAUGCCCCAACCAACCGCACAAGAAGCAGAAUAAAGGCAGGCGUUCGUACUUGAAGAUUGCAAAUGUUGAUUCCCCAUUUCUCAGGUUGAGACUCUUUUUCUGAAUAGAGGCUUUUGGACAUCAAUGGUCGCCCGAACCCAUAGACAACCUUCCAUCCCAGCCAUAGAAGAUGAACGUGUAUCAUAGUCAACAAUGCCCCCCAAUAGGUUCCCAACUACCUAGCCAUUGUCUCUGAUACAAAAUUCGGUGCGAGUGAGUGAAUAUUUAUCCAUAAAAAGCUCGUGUCAAUGGCUACUUUCAAUUGAUGUUCUCCCUCCCUAAGGCAGUGCACAACCAAUAAGUGGUUGUUAAAAGUCCAUGGACCUCUAUUGAGCACUCUUUAGAAAUCCACUUCACAAAAAAAUUUGUAUAAGUAAUGGCCAGAACUGAGAUCUACAAUAUUUGCUCCUCUUAACUUCCAUAGGUCUGCCAAUGUAUUCUUCUUCGGUUUAAACUUUACAACCACUUUCGUCAAGAAUCUUCCUACUAAAUAGAGGUCAUACAACUCUUGUUGUUCACGAAUAAGUUCAGUUAAGUCCCAACCCCCAUCAUCCUCCUCUGCAAUCGAUAACGACGCUAUGUCAUCCACCAUAUCCAAUAGUCACCUUUACGUGCCAAUCGACAGACUAUUGAGAGAAACAACAAUAACUUGUCUAUGGUGUAAAAAGGUCUCACUGCUGGAAACAAAACCUCUUGCAACUAAACAAAGCAAAUGGAGAAGAGGGUCAUCCAACACUGACUUGGUACUAGACCAAGUCAUUUCCUAUUUACAUUCUAUUUACACUUGUAAGUUUUAAAACCUAACCAUCUCAGUAAAAAGGGUGGGUAAUUAACUCUAUUAUGUGGAAUAAAGGAAUCAUUUGGGUAGAUUCAUUUUUUGUCAUAACAGUUAUUUAAAUAGACAUAUAUGUUCAUCAAUUAUUUAUUUUAGGCAAAGAAAAAAUUGCCUUUAUGGUUCAUUUAAAAUGAUAAUGGACAUUUGGUAUUCAAUUUUUGAUUUAUUAGAGCUUGUGACUUUU
rnacentral:lncRNA from 1 species